GACGAACGCUGGCGGCGUGCCUAAUACAUGCAAGUCGAACGCACGAAGUUGAAGAGCUUGCUCUUUAACCAAGUGAGUGGCGGACGGGUGAGUAACACGUGGGUAACCUGCCCAUUAGAGGGGGAUAACAUUCGGAAACGGAUGCUAAUACCGCAUAGUUUCAGGGAUCGCAUGAUUCUUGAAGGAAAGGUGGCUCCGGCUACCACUAAUGGAUGGACCCGCGGCGUAUUAGCUAGUUGGUGAGGUAAUGGCUCACCAAGGCAAUGAUACGUAGCCGACCUGAGAGGGUGAUCGGCCACACUGGGGCUGAGACACGGCCCAGACUCCUACGGGAGGCAGCAGUAGGGAAUCUUCCGCAAUGGACGAAAGUCUGACGGAGCAACGCCGCGUGAGUGAAGAAGGUUUUCGGAUCGUAAAACUCUGUUGUUAAAGAAGAACAAGGAUGAGAGUAACUGCUCAUCCCCUGACGGUAUUUAACCAGAAAGCCACGGCUAACUACGUGCCAGCAGCCGCGGUAAUACGUAGGUGGCAAGCGUUGUCCGGAUUUAUUGGGCGUAAAGCGAGCGCAGGCGGUUCUUUAAGUCUGAUGUGAAAGCCCCCGGCUCAACCGGGGAGGGUCAUUGGAAACUGGAGAACUUGAGUGCAGAAGAGGAGAGUGGAAUUCCACGUGUAGCGGUGAAAUGCGUAGAUAUGUGGAGGAACACCAGUGGCGAAGGCGACUCUCUGGUCUGUAACUGACGCUGAGGCUCGAAAGCGUGGGGAGCAAACAGG
rnacentral:rRNA from 1 species